GCCCAAUAGUACAAAAAUUUUUUUUAGAUAUGAAAAUAUAGUAUUUAAAUUAUAAAUAGAAAAAAUUUGUUACUGAAAAACCAAAAGAUAUUAACUGUGGACAAAAAGCUCACAUGUACUAAUAUACAGAGUAGGUAGUCGUUUAAGGUCUGCAGGUGGGUACUUGAGGUAUUAAUCCUUGUGUAUUACUUUAAAUGAAAACUAAUAUAUAAAUGUAUGGCUAUGGGUCACUCCGUGGUUUAUUUACUAAAUAGAGAAUUCUGGUGGUCUGAAAAUAAAGUUGAAAAUGGUAAACUAAAAUAGCUCACUUAGAACAUUUUUCCUGAAUUUGUUUUCCAGUCCAUGUCUAUCCUGCUUAGUAAAUAUACCCUUAUGUGUUCAUUAUUCAGUGGACUAUAACGUACAAUUUGACUGUCUAGCAUUAUAAAAAAAAAAAACAUGGUAGCCAGAUUUGGUGAAAAUAUUAAACAUCUCGACGGCUGCCCUAAAGAAAUAUUAUAUUCAAUAUUAGAUCUAUUAACUCUUUGUGUGAUGAAGAGAUGAGCCACACUUUGCAGAGAUAUAUGUGUGAUUCUUUUUCUCUAAACUCUACAUCUGAUCUAGUUAAUAAUUUCAUAGCAAUUACACUAAACAUAUUUUAGUAUGCAAAG